UGAAUACGAGAUGCUACGGCAUCGAAGCAGUCUAUGUCAUACUUCCAAGAAAAGCUUGCACUGUCAUAAACAAAUAAUGCCUGUACCAUAACCGACACAGGUGGGUAGGUAGAGUAUACUAAGGGGCGCGAGAUAACUCUCUCUAAGGAACUCGGCAAAAUGACUCCGUAACUUCGGGAGAAGGAGUGCCUUAUUUUAUAAGGUUGCAAUAACAAGAUCCAAGCAACUGUUUACCAAAAACACAGGUCUCCGCUAAGUCGUAAGACGAUGUAUGGGGGCUGACGCCUGCCCAGUGCCAGAAGGUUAAAGAAGUUGGUUAGCAUUAGCGAAGCUGAUAACUGAAGCCCUGGUGAACGGCGGCCGUAACAAUAACGGUCCUAAGGUAGCGAAAUUCCUUGUCGGGUAAGUUCCGACCCGCACGAAAGGCGUAAUGAUUUGGAUACUGUCUCGGAGAGGGGCUCGGUGAAAUAGACUUGUCUGUGAAGAUGCGGACUACCUGCACCAGGACAGAAAGACCCUAUGAAGCUUUACUGUAACUUGAGAUUGAAAUUGGACUUUAUUUGCGCAGUAUAGGUGGGAGACGUUGAAAAUAUUCUUGCGGGAAUAUUGGAGUCAUCAGUGAGAUACCACUCUUAUAAUGUUAGAUUUCUAACUUUGUAUCAUUAUCUGGUCAAAGAACAGUCUCAGGCGGGCAGUUUGACUGGGGCGGUCGCCUCCCAAACGGUAACGGAGGCGCACAAAGGUUUCCUCUGAACGUGUAGAAAUCGUAUCUAGAGUGUAAAGGCAUAAGGAAGCUUGACUGUGAGACCUACAAGUCGAGCAGGGACGAAAGUCGGUCUUAGUGAUCUGACGGUGCUGAGUGGAAAGGCCGUCACUCAACGGAUAAAAGUUACUCUAAGGAUAACAGGCUGAUCUCCCCCAAGAGUUCACAUCGACGGGGAGGUUUGGCACCUCGAUGUCGGCUCAUCGCAUCCUGGGGCGGUAGUACGUCCCAAGGGUUGGGCUGUUCGCCCAUGAAAGCGGUACGCGAGCUGGGUUCAGAACGUCGUGAGACAGUUCGGUCCAUAUCCGGUGUAGGCGUUAGAAUAUUGAGAGGAGCCUUCUUUAGUACGAGAGGACCGAGAAGGACAUACCUCUGGUGUACCAGUUAUCGUGCCAACGGUAAACGCUGGGUAGCUAUGUAUGGAGAGGAUAACCGCUGAGAGCAUCUAAGAGGGAAGCCCACCUCAAGAUAAGUAUUCCC
rnacentral:rRNA from 1 species